rnacentral:rRNA from 1 species
UACGUAGGUGGCAAGCGUUGUCCGGAUUUAUUGGGUUUAAAGGGUGCGUAGGCGGUUGUAUAAGUCAGUGCUGAAAUAUCCCGGCUUAACCGGGAGGGUGGCAUUGAUACUGUACGACUUGAGUAAAGUUGAGGUUGGCGGAAUUGACGGUGUAGCGGUGAAAUGCUUAGAUAUCGUCAAGAACACCGAUUGCGAAGGCAGCUAACCAAGCUUUAACUGACGCUGAGGCACGAAAGUGUGGGGAUCAAACAGG